rnacentral:misc_RNA from 1 species
GAUGAAGAACGCAGCGAAAUGCGAUACGUAAUGUGAAUUGCAGAAUUCAGUGAAUCAUCGAAUCUUGAACGCAUAUUGCGCUCUUUGGUAUUCCGAAGAGCAUGCUUGUUUGAGUAUCAGUAAACACCUCAACCUCUUCUUGAUUUUUCAAAAGGAGGGUGGACUUGAGCUAUCCCAACAACCUUUACCGGUCGGCGGGCGGCUUGAAAUGCAGGUGCAGCUGGACUUUUAUCUGAGCUAAAAGCAUAUCUAUUUAGUCCUCGUCAAACAGGAUUAUUACUUUUGCUGCAGCUAACAUAAAGGAUAAUUGUCCUCUUUGCUGACUGAUGCAGGAUUUUACGACACUUUAUGUGUUGUUCAACUCGAUCUCAAAUCAAGUAAGACUACCCGCUGAACUUAAGCAUAUCAAUAAGCGGAGGA